CUACGGGAGGCAGCAGUGGGGAAUAUUGGACAAUGGGCGAAAGCCUGAUCCAGCCAUGCCGCGUGAGUGAUGAAGGCCCUAGGGUUGUAAAGCUCUUUCAGUGGGGAAGAUAAUGACGGUACCCACAGAAGAAGCCCCGGCUAACUUCGUGCCAGCAGCCGCGGUAAUACGAAGGGGGCUAGCGUUGUUCGGAAUUACUGGGCGUAAAGCGCACGUAGGCGGAUUUUUAAGUCAGGGGUGAAAUCCCGGGGCUCAACCCCGGAAUAGCCUCUGAUACUGGAUGUCUAGAAUCCGAGAGAGGUGAGUGGAAUUCCGAGUGUAGAGGUGAAAUUCGUAGAUAUUCGGAGGAACACCAGUGGCGAAGGCGGCUCACUGGCUCGGUACUGACGCUGAGAUGCGAAAGCGUGGGGAGCAAACAGGAUUAGAAACCCUAGUAGUCC
rnacentral:rRNA from 1 species